rnacentral:lncRNA from 1 species
UUGAUAGAAAACAUAAAUGAACAAGUAUUCAUUCAAAUAAAUGAAAAUUAUUUGUACACAUACAUAUAUGUAGACGUAUUGAGCCUACGUCCACUACAGUUUUAACAGCCCCUAAGAAAGAUGAAGCCCCCUUUACAAGGCAAAUAUGCUGACUUGAUGAAACCUAUAAACAUCUCUUCCCCGAAGAUUCAGUCAAUGCCAUCUGUAGAACCUAUUCAAAUUAAGAAGCUUUCUUAUAUUGAUGGGGUUCCAAGAGUUGUGUGGACUGAAGAAGAAGUUGAUAGAAUGAAUGUCUUGGAAAAUUUACAAUAUGCAGUAAUUGGUAAAUUUUCAUAUGGUUGGCCAGUAAUUGAUGAUUUACGUAUGCAAAUUCCUAAGCAACUUAAUGUGAAAGGGAGAUGUAACAUUGGUUUUUUGAGGAAUAGGCAUAUCCUGAUAAGAUUUGAGGAUUUUGUCAAUGUAUCGAAAAAUGUAUAUUACAUUAAUGAUAAGGAUGGUUAUUCAUACCAAAUGAGGCCUUUAAUCCAUGAUACUAAAUUCAGAAUGGAGGAGGAAACAACUCAGGCAAUGGCCUGGAUUUCAUUCCCUAAUCUAACUCCUACUUUCUUUGUUAAAGAGUCCCUAUUUUCCCUUGUCUCAGCAGUUGGCAAGCCAAUUCCAUUGGAUAUGGCUACGAUAAACAAAACCCGACCUAGUUGUGCUAAGGUAAAGGUGCAGGUGGAUUUACUGGCAAGUUUCCCCGAAUUUGUGGAAAUAGGGAUUGUUAACUCUAUUACAAAGGUUUCAAGAGUAGAAAAGGUGAAGAUCCAAUAUGAUUAUAUGCCCAAAUAUUGUCAAAAGUGUAUGCUACAGGGGCAUGACGAGCAGGAUUGUAGACUGUGACAUCCUGAACCAAAAAUGGCCUAUGAUGAUCAAAAUGCAAAUGAGAACAAGGAUGAAGAUAAAGUGGAACAAAAUAUGGGGCACAGAAGAAGAUAUCAAUGGAAUCAACACCAGCAGCAGUGGAAACCCACUAAGAGGAUAUCUAUUAAUAAAGGAUAUUUUAGUGAGAAGGCUACUACUACUACCAAGGAGAAAAAUAGUGAGAAUUCCUUUGGAGCACUUGCAGAAGAAAAUAAAGAGCAUUUAAAUGUUGAUAAUAAUAAUCUUACUUCAAUAGUAAAUGUAGAGCAGGAUAAUACGAAUAAAGAGGAAGGGAGACAACAUUUAUCAACAAAAGAUUGGGUUUCCAAGAUAUUUCCUGGGCAUGGUGAUUAUAAAAGUACCGGUGAUAGAGACAGAGCAGCUCCUGCAACAAAUGAAAAAAAAUCAGUCAAGAAAAAUCUCUUUAGUCAAUCAAAUGCAAACUGAGAGAGAGGAAGGAUAGAAAGAAGAUCAUGUCACCAAAGAUGUUGGUUCAAAGAAUCAGGACACUCACAAGUUAUUACCAGAUAACAGUAACACAAGUGCAAAAGAUGAUAAAAUUCAAAGUUCUACAAAGGAAAAUGUCCAGUCAUCCAGGAUGGAGGAGAUGGCAAUCGUGGCAGUCCCUAUUCCAGUAUCUUUCGAGGAGCCACAAAGUUGGAACGUUGAAAAUCCAAAUGAAGUGCUUUACAGCAUAUUUACACAUAAUGUUCAAACUACAAUGGAACAACUGAAGCAAAUAAAAGCUGGAGGAGGUCGCUCAGGUGUUGGUGAUGAAUAUAUCUGUAAAGCAGCUGAUUUAUCUCCUCGAGCUACAGAAUCAGUUAAGCCUACAAAGAAAGAAAAGAAGAAGAUAAAUGGUGACAACUCACAGCCUAGUAGAGUCCUACCAAAGAGAAAUGUGGUUUCAUAGUAUAGUAAAAGUUGAUGAAAGCCUUAAUGUGGAACAUUAGAUCAGUAAAAUCUAAAAGGGCCUUUCAAAGGGUGCAAAUGCUUCAUAAUUUUCACAAGUUUGAAUUUGUUACUAUUGUGGAACCUUUUAAACAUAUAAGAACCAUUCAUAGAUAUAGAAGAAAAUUGAGGAUGCCAUCGGUAUUUUAUAAUGUGAAUGGUAAAAUAUGGUUAUUUGUUAAUUAUGGGUUGAAUGCUACAAUUAUCAACAACACAGAGCAAACUCUCUCAAUUCUACUACACAAUGUGUCUUUGGGCAUCAAAUUUUUAGUUACUAGUGUGUAUGCUAAAUGUGAUAGAGAGCAGAGAUUGAUUUUGUGGGAUGAGAUCAUGAAUUUAUCAACUGAUCUGAAUACACCAUGGCUUGUAGGGGGGAUUUUAAUGUUGUGAUGAACAGGUCAGAAAAAAUUAGUGGUAAUCCAGUAAGUGUUGUGGAAAUGGAGGAUUUCAGAACUUGUUUUGAAACUAGUGACCUACUCCAUAUCCCUUUUAGAGAACGUCCUUAUACAUGGUGGAAUGGGAGAGCAGGGAUGGAUUGUAUCUUUGAAAGGCUGGAUAGAAUUGCCUCAAAUUCAGAGUUCCAGAAUCCGUUUUCUAGUAUUGAUGUGGAGCACUUGGCUAGGAUAGGUCAGACCAUGUCCGUUUGUUAAUUUUUUGUGAGAAUAGGGCUACCAGAGCUGUAAAACCUUUCAGAUUUUUGAAAUUUUGGACUGAGCAUGAAACAUUUAAGGAGGUAGUGAGAAUGAAUUGGGAUGAUGGCAGAUCAGAGAACCCUUUCCUUGAUUUUAAAAGGAAGAUAAAGCAAGUUAAAAAAGCUUUGUCUCUGUGGAGCAAAGAGGUAUAUGGGGAUAUAUUUCAGCAGCUGAUGAUUAGGGAAGAGAUAGCAAAGAUUCAGGAAAGAUUAUUUGAAGAUAAUCCUACUCCAGAAAAUAGAGUGGUGAUGAAGAGAGCCAAGGCUGAAUACACUAAAUACCUGAAUUUAUAAGAGAGUUACUGGCAACAGAAGGCGGGAUAUGAUUGGUUUCAAAGUGGAGACAGAAAUACUAAAUUUUUUCACAGCAUUGUUAAAAGAAGGAGAAGCAAAUUAAAAGUGAGUAGAAUUUUAAAUUAACAGGGGUGUUGGCUGGAGGAUGAGUAACUGAUAGCAGAUGAAGCAGUUUUAUUUUAUCACAAAUAGUUUACUAAAGAUAUGGAUAACACUGACUGUUCAUUACUGCAAUAUAUCCCUGAACUGAUAAAAGAAGAGGAUAAUGAAGCUUUGGGAGCCAUUCCAGAUGAUGAUGAAGUGAAGAAUGUUGUUUUUAGCCUCAAUGGAGAUGGUGCUUAUGUACCUGAUGGUCUCUCGGGAAGAUUUUACCAAUCAUGUUGGGAUAUUGUAAGUUUUGACAUAUAUAGACAGGUGAAGGAUUUUAUGCAGGAAAUACAUUACCAAAAUCAAUUACCCAUACUAAUUUGGUCCUCAUACCUAAGAAAGAAAAUGUUCAAUCUUUCUUAGACUUGAGGCCCAUUAGUCUAAGUAAUUUUGUGAACAAAAUCAUGUCAAGAAUUCUUCAUGAUAGAUCGGAAAAAAUUCUCCCUAGGCUCAUAUCUUCUAAUCAAUCUGGUUUUGUUAGACAAAAAAGCAUAAUCGAUAAUGUCUUACUAGCUCAGGAACUGGUUACAGACAUUGGGAAGAGAGAGAAGACUGCUAAUGUAAUUUUGAAAUUGGAUAUGGCUAAAGCAUAUGAUAGAGUGUCUUGGUUCUUUUGGAUGAAGGUUAUGAGAAAGAUGGGUUUUUCUAAUAGGGUGGUUGAUGUGGUCUGGAGGUUAAUCUCUAAUAACUACUACCCAGUCUUAUUAAAUGGUCAAGCUACUGGAUUCUUUCAUUCUACCAGGGGGGUGAAGCAGGGGGAUCCUUUAUCCCCAACCUUAUUUAUACUGUCUGCUGAAGUUCUGACAAGAGCUCUAAACCAUCUAUUUGAGGAUGUUGCAUAUAUAGGGUAUGGAAUGCCAAAGUGGAGCCCUAACUUAAAUCAUUUAGCUUAUGCUGAUGAUACCAUUAUUUUUACCUCUUCUAAUGAAUAUUCUAUGAGGAAAAUUAUGCAGGUUUUGAAGGAGUAUGAGCAACAAUCUGGACAAAAGGUGAAUAUGAACAAAAGCCUAUUUUAUGUGCAUCAAAACACUGCUGUGGAUGUUUGGCAAAAGGUGGAGCAAUACACUNNNNNNNNNNNNNNNNNNNNNNNNNNNNNNNNNNNNNNNNNNNNNNNNNNNNNNNNNNNNNNNNNNNNNNNNNNNNNNNNNNNNNAUGCCGAAGGGAGAAUUCCCAUUGAAGUAUCUUGGAUGUCCAUUAUCUCAUGCAAAGAAGAAGAAGGAGAAUUAUGAAGAUUUAUUGGACAAGGUUAGAGGUAAACAUCAGGCCUGGAAAGGUAGGAUGCUCUCUUAUGGUGGAAAAGAAGUCCUCAUUAAAAGUGUCUUACCAAGCAUUCCAAUUUAUAUUUUAUCUGCAAUUAUUCAUUCAAAAAGUGUCAUCAAGGAUCUACAUAGAAUAUUUGCUAAAUUUUUCUGGAACAGCAAAGAGAAUGGAAGAGGUAAACACUAAUCAGCUUGGGAUAAAGUAUGUGUACCUAAAGAAGAAGGGGGAUUAGGGUUUAGAUCUUUAAAAGAUGUUUCUCAAGCAAUGUACGCUAAACUAUGGUGGAAAUUUAGAACACAAAAGAAUUUGUGGAUUAAUUUCUUAUGGAACAAGUAUUGCAAGAAGCAAAUUCCUGCUUUUGUUCAGGGCAAGGGUGGAUCUCAAGUAUGGAAAGCUAUGUUGAAAGAUAGAGAAUCUAUUGAACAUGCGAUUUGGUGGGAGCCUAAAGGUGGUUCUUUGCAGACUUGCCUUCCAUGAAAGAGAUUAGGGAAGUUUUAGGAGAGGAUGGGUGGAAUUAGAGUAAAAUGCAUGAUGAAAUUCCUGAGAAUGUGGUGAAUUAUGUCCAAAAAAAAAUGGAAAAUCUGGAAUUUGAAGAGGGACCAGACAAACCUUGGUGGACAAAAUCUAGCAAAGGUGAUUUUACUGUCAAGAGUGUGUGGGAAAUGAUAAGAAAAAGAGGUGAGAUUAAUGAAGAUCUGAAGAGUUUCUGGUGUAAAGGGUUGCCUUUUAAAUUCUCCUUCCUUGCUUGGAGAGUUUGGCAAGGAAAAGUGCCAGUAGUUGCACUAAUGCACACUUGGAAUUCAAGUAUUUCACAGGAUUGUUUAUGUUGUAGUAGUCCUAACAGAGAAACUGUUGAACAUUUGUUUCUAAGAGGAGAAAUAGCAGAUGAGAUUUGGCAACAUUACUGUGCAGGUUCUGGUAUAAUAGAUCAAAGACAUAAUUUGAAACAAAGUGUGAGAUUGUGGAGAGAAACUGAUAGAAAUGUAAGAUGUAAAACAGUGUAUCAAGUGGUUCCUAUUCUGAUUAUGUGGUUUUUAUGGAAAAGCAGAAAUACUAAAACUACAUGGGGGAACUUAUCAUAAGAGGAAGAUAUACUGGGAAAUUAAUAACUAUAUCCUAAAAUUCAUGAAGCUCAAAUUCCAUAUGCAGAUUGAAGAAAAUAAUUUGAUUAAUAUUGUUGAUGCUUUACAGGAGUACAAACCUUCCUAUCAAAUAAAAGUUGUUAGAUGGAGGCCUUCACUACAUGAAUGGAUGAAAGGAAACACUGAUGGGGCUUCUAGGGGAAACCCAGGUCCAAGUUUAUGUGCCUUUUGCAUAAGAAAUUCAGAAGGCAAUUUAAUUAUUGCCAAGGGCUCAAGAAUUCAUGAUACGAUAAGUAUAGUGGCUGAAGCUAUUGCAAUUAAGGAGUGCUUGAGGUUUUGUAGGGAUAAUAGUAUUCAUCUAAUAGAAGUGGAGACAGAUUCCUGGACCUUAGUCCAAGUCUUGCAGGGGGAAUGGGAGGUCCCGUGGUGUGUGGUUUUGGAAGUGAAUUUCAUCAGAGAAUUGAUGUCACAAGUAACAGCAAGAGUGGUACAUUCCCUUUGGGAAGGUAACACUCUUGCUGAUUAUUUUGCUAACAUGGUUUUGGAUUUUGCAGGUGAUUUUCAAAUUACUAAUGUUGAAGACAUUCCAGCACAAGGGAGAAGAAUUAUCAAAUUGGAUAAAUGAGGUACACCACACAUAAGAAGAACAGUGCAAUAUGAAGGGGGCUAGCAGAUUCAUUAAAGCAGGUUAGAUUUUAACACACAAGGUCAUUUCAAAGAAAAAAUCACACCAGCAGCAACAUCACACCAGCAGCAUAAUAACUAAUUAUCAUCACACAAGGCAGGAAAUCCUCAGACUAUAUUCGACGCUUGUUCACUUACAUCCACAAUACAUCAGAAUAGUGUUUUAUACAGUGAUUUUCAUAAGGUAGUGAAGGAUUCCGAUGGUGGUGGUAUCAACUUCGUAUGAGGUUCAUCCCACCAAGGAAAAGUCAACAACCAGACGAACACUGCUAUGAAAUAAUUACUUUCUUCUCUAAAUCUACAGGAUAUUAGCAAGAGUACCUAGAAUAGCAGCAGAUCUAGUCUCAGCUAUUAUCAAUCUCGAAGAAUACUUCUUUUUGGGGACAGAAAUCACGGCACCGGUGAAAUUGAGAGGUUACCUAAGUGAUUGCUACCAAAAGAUUGAUAAUUUAAAAGAGAUUAGAAAAAUUGUUAGAAAGGGAAAUCAAGCUAGUAAUUGAUAUAGGAAUUCCACUUAUCUACAAGAAUCCAACAAAUUCUGGUGUUUCACCUCAUCUACCAUCUCCGGCGACGUCACAUACGCUACAAUUUUCUCAGCUGAGCUAAUGGCUCUUUACUUUCCUAAUCUAGUCUAUUCCAAUUUCUUUUUGGAUUUUGCAUUUGUUUUUCCUUAGAGAUACAACUGAUUUUUUUGUCUUUGUGGAUUGGGCUGUUGGGCCUUAUGUGGAAUGAAACAUUUCGGUUAA